UCCGAAAUUUUGAUUACAUGCCUUUAUUCUGGUAGGAUAAUACAUGAAAUUCACUUUUUCGAUAGUCUGUGAAGUAAAAGUACACGUGGGCUCAAUCUGGCUGCUUGUAAUAGGCAUUAAGACGACUCUUGGUGAUAUUUAUGUAGAUAGGAGAAAUCGUUGGAGCAGUUGAAAUCAUGUAGUGAACCAGCCCAGCUGACUGAAGUUUGUGCCACCACGACUAAAAGGGAUUUUUAUGCAUAAUGAAAUCGUUGGAGCAGUUGAAAUCGUUGGAGCAGUUGAAAACAUGGAGUGAACUAGAACAGCUGUGACAGGAAUCCUUGUGCCGCAUCUCACGAAAUCGUCCAGUCUCUCCAUCCAUUCGAUACCACAGCCUUGAAGUCUCUCACUCUCACUCUUCAUCUCCGCUUUCUUACAAACCUUAUUUCCUCUGUAUAUAUUUGAAUGAUCAACAUGAAUAAACUAAUUACUGAUCA